rnacentral:lncRNA from 1 species
UCUACUAUUGAAUCAACGGUUGCUUCACGUUUGGAACCUUUCUAACAUAUCGCUUAAGAGUAAACUAGUUUCCCUAUAUGAAAUCUUUUCAAGAUUUCAUCUAUGUAAAUUGAGAUGAGUUAAGCAAUCUUCUAGAUCUAUCUCUAUAGAUCAAGUUGCUUCUCCCAUAGCUUUCUAGAAUAAAUCAUUUAACAACCAUUAUUUCAAUGAUUGAAAUAUAGGGAUGUCGUUUUCUAUAAUAUUAGCAAUACGACAAUGCUCCCACUAUCUUCUUGUAAACACACAAUUCGUCUUCAAAUUUUAUAAAAUCAAACACUUUGAGUUUUUUAUCAAAUCGAAGAUUUCAGCUCCAAGAGACUUCUCUUAACCUAUAGUCAUGAUAUGCAACUUUUGCAAGCAAGACCCGAAUGGAUUUAAAUCUUACCCAAAUGGAUUUAAGCAAGACUACAGGAGAAAGGUUUCACCAAGGUCAACACUUAACCUUUGCUUCUAGCCUUGCUUUGUAUAUAUGAAUAUUCACAUCCAUAUCGACCUUUUUCUUGUAAACUAUUUACAAAAGCUUAUGGGUUUUAUUCCAUCAGGAGGCUUGACCAAGGUCCAAACUUUGUUCACAUACGUCGAGUUCAUCUCGAGUUUCAUGGCCUCUGGCUGUCUCUUUUAAGUCAACACUUGACUUCAUUUUGGUGCAACUAGCAGGUUCAUUAUCCUCGAUCAGUAAUACCUGAUUAGUAAUCAUGGAUUCGCACCUUCUUGAAGGUCGAAUGAUCCUAUUAGAUUCACAUAGAGCUGAUAUGCCCUCAAGAGUCAACUUCCUGAUCAAGAGUAUGUCCCAUAUCAGAUAUGGGAUCAAACUCGAAUUUAUCUACUUAGUUAACUAUAUCUGUGGACUCUUGAACUCUUUCAAGUUCUAUUUUGCUCCCACUGUCCUCCCUUAGAGCAAACAUUUUC